UGGGGAAUUUUGGACAAUGGGCGCAAGCCUGAUCCAGCAAUGCCGCGUGUGUGAAGAAGGCCUUCGGGUUGUAAAGCACUUUUGUCCGGAAAGAAAUCCGUCUGGCUAAUACCCGGACGGGAUGACGGUACCGGAAGAAUAAGCACCGGCUAACUACGUGCCAGCAGCCGCGGUAAUACGUAGGGUGCGAGCGUUAAUCGGAAUUACUGGGCGUAAAGCGUGCGCAGGCGGCUUUGUAAGACAGAUGUGAAAUCCCCGGGCUCAACCUGGGAACUGCAUCUGUGACUGCAAGGCUAGAGUGCGUCAGAGGGAGGUGGAAUUCCGCGUGUAGCAGUGAAAUGCGUAGAGAUGCGGAGGAACACCGAUGGCGAAGGCAGCCUCCUGGGAUGACACUGACGCUCAUGCACGAAAGCGUGGGGAGCAAACA
rnacentral:rRNA from 1 species